UACAGAGGUCUCAAGCGUUGUUCGGAUUCAUUGGGCGUAAAGGGUGCGUAGGCGGCCUGUGCAAGUCAGUUGUGAAAUCUCCGGGCUUAACUCGGAACGGUCAACUGAUACUGCUCGGCUAGAGUGCGGAAGGGGCAACUGGAAUUCUUGGUGUAGCGGUGAAAUGCGUAGAUAUCGAGAGGAACACCUGCGGCGAAGGCGGGUAGCUGGGCCGACACUGACGCUGAGGCGCGAAAGCCAGGGGAGCGAACGGG
rnacentral:rRNA from 1 species